AACGAACGCUGGCGGCAUGCCUAACACAUGCAAGUCGAACGAUGGUCUUCGGAUCAUAGUGGCGCACGGGUGCGUAACGCGUGGGAAUCUGCCCUUGUGUUCGGAAUAACAGUUGGAAACGACUGCUAAUACCGGAUGAGGUCGAUAAGACCAAAGAUUUAUCGCGCGAGGAUGAGUCCGCGUCGGAUUAGCUUGUUGGUUGGGUAAAGGCCUCCCAAGUCGACGAUCCGUAGCUGGUCUGAGAGGAUGAUCAGCCACACUGGGACUGAGACACGGCCCAGACUCCUACGGGAGGCAGCAGUGGGGAAUAUUGGACAAUGGGCGCAAGCCUGAUCCAGCAAUGCCGCGUGAGUGAUGAAGGCCUUAGGGUUGUAAAGCUCUUUUACCCGGGAAGAUAAUGACUGAACCGGGAGAAUAAGCCCCGGCUAACUCCGUG
rnacentral:rRNA from 1 species